GGGGCUGAUUCUGGAUUCGACGGGAUUCGCGAAACCCAAGGUGCAUGCCGAGGGGCGGUUGGCCUCGUAAAAAGCCGCAAAAAAAUAGUCGCAAACGACGAAAAAUACGCACUAGCAGCUUAAUAACCUGCGCAGAGCCCUCUCUCCCUAGCCUCCGCUCUUAGGACGGGGAUCAAGAGAGGUCAAACCCAAAAGAGAUCGCGUGGAUGCCUUGCCUGGGGUUGAAGCGUUAAAUCUAAUCAGGCUAGUUUGUGAGUGGCGUGUCUGUCCGCAGCUGGCAAGCGAAUGUAAAGAUUAGACUAAGCAUGUAGUACCAAGGAUGUAGGAAUUUCGGACGCGGGUUCAACUCCCGCCAGCUCCACCA
rnacentral:tmRNA from 22 species